rnacentral:rRNA from 1 species
CACGCCGUAAACGAUGAUUGCUAGUUGUCGGCACGCAUGCGUGUCGGUGACGCAGCUAACGCAUUAAGCAAUCCGCCUGGGGAGUACGGUCGCAAGAUUAAAACUCAAAGGAAUUGACGGGGGCCCGCACAAGCGGUGGAGCAUGUGGUUUAAUUCGACGCAACGCGCAGAACCUUACCACCUUUUGACAUGCCCUGAUCGCUGGAGAGAUCCAGUUUUCCCUUCGGGGACAGGGACACAGGUGC